UCCGAGUUGACCCCGGCAGUCUCCUACGAGUUCCCACCAUUACGUGCUGGCAACAUAGAACGAGGGUUGCGCUCGUUGCGGGACUUAACCCAACAUCUCACAACACGAGCUGACGACAGCCAUGCACCACCUGUGUACCUGUCCCGAAGGAAGACCGUGUUUCCACGGCUGUCAGGCACAUGUCAAGCCCAGGUAAGGUUCUUCGCGUUGCGUCGAAUUAAACCACAUGCUCCACCGCUUGUGCGGGCCCCCGUCAAUUCCUUUGAGUUUCAGCCUUGCGGCCGUACUCCCCAGGCGGGGCACUUAUCGCGUUAGCUACGGCACUGACGGGGUCGCUCCCCCCAGCACCUAGUGCCCAUCGUUUACGGCGUGGACUAC
rnacentral:misc_RNA from 1 species